UACGGAGGGUGCGAGCGUUAAUCGGAAUUACUGGGCGUAAAGCGUGCGCAGGCGGUCUUGCAAGACAGAUGUGAAAUCCCCGGGCUCAACCUGGGAACUGCAUUUGCGACUGCAAGGCUAGAGUACGGUAGAGGGGGAUGGAAUUCCGCGUGUAGCAGUGAAAUGCGUAGAUAUGCGGAGGAACACCGAUGGCGAAGGCAAUCCCCUGGACCUGUACUGACGCUCAUGCACGAAAGCGUGGGGAGCAAACAGG
rnacentral:rRNA from 1 species